rnacentral:rRNA from 1 species
CAGUCGCCACGGGAAUACGUAGGGUGCGAGCGUUAAUCGGAAUUACUGGGCGUAAAGCGUGCGCAGGCGGCUUUGCAAGACAGAUGUGAAAUCCCCGGGCUCAACCUGGGAACUGCAUUUGUGACUGCAAGGCUAGAGUACGGUAGAGGGGGAUGGAAUUCCGCGUGUAGCAGUGAAAUGCGUAGAUAUGCGGAGGAACACCAAUGGCGAAGGCAAUCCCCUGGACCUGUACUGACGCUCAUGCACGAAAGCGUGGGGAGCAAACAGGAUUAGAUACCCGAGUAGUCCCUGUCUCUUAUAC